UACGGAGGGUGCGAGCGUUGUCCGGAAUCAUUGGGCGUAAAGGGCGCGUAGGUGGCGGGACAAGCGUGCGGUGAAAGCUCGGGGCUCAACCCCGAGUCGGCCGUGCGAACUGUUUUGCUUGAGCACUGUAGAGGCAGGCGGAAUUCCGGGUGUAGCGGUGGAAUGCGUAGAGAUCCGGAAGAACACCGGUGGCGAAGGCGGCCUGCUGGGCAGUAGCUGACACUGAGGCGCGACAGCGUGGGAGCGAACGGG
rnacentral:rRNA from 1 species